rfam:Sus scrofa chromosome 5.
CCAUAGGCUGCAGUUGCAGCCAUAAAAAGAAAAAAUUAAAAAAAA